UACGUAGGGUGCGAGCGUUUAAUCGGAAUUACUGGGCGUAAAGCGUGCGCAGGCGGUUCGUUGUGUCGGUGGUGAAAGCCCCGGGCUUAACCUGGGAAUGGCCGUCGAAACUGGCGAACUGGAGUGUGGCAGAGGGGGGUGGAAUUCCGCGUGUAGCGGUGAAAUGCGUAGAGAUGUGGAGGAACACCAGUGGCGAAGGCGACUUUCUGGUCUGUAACUGACACUGAGGCGCGAAAGCGUGGGGAGCGAACAGG
rnacentral:rRNA from 1 species